rnacentral:rRNA from 1 species
AGCAGCCGCGGUAAUUCCAGCUCCAAUAGCGUAUAUUAAAGUUGUUGCAGUUAAAAAGCUCGUAGUUGAAUUUCGGGGUUCUACCGUCGGUCGGGCUAACAAGUCUGUACUGGUGUGUAGAAUUUCUACCUUCUGGGGAACUAUCAUGUUAUUAAUUUAGCGUGGUGGGAAACCAGGACCUUUACCUUGAAAAAAUUAGAGUGUUCAAAGCAGGCUUACGUCUGAAUACAUUAGCAUGGAAUAAUAGAAUAGGACGGUGGUCCUGUUUUGUUGGUUUCUGAAUCACCGUAAUGAUUAAUAGGGAUAGUUGGGGGCAUUAGUAUUCAAUUGUCAGAGGUGAAAUUCUUGGAUUUAUUGAAGACUAACUUCUGCGAAAGCAUUUGCCAAGGAUGUUUUCAUUAAUCAAGAACGAAAGUUAGGGGAUCGAAGACGAUCAGAUACCGUCGUAGUCUUAACCAUAAACUAUGCCGACUAGGGAUCGGACGAUGUUAAAUUUAUUGACUCGUUCGGCGCCUUACGG